rnacentral:rRNA from 1 species
CCUACGGGAGGCUGCAGUGGGGAAUAUUGCGCAAUGGGCGAAAGCCUGACGCAGCGACGCCGCGUGAGGGAUGAAGGUCUUCGGAUCGUAAACCUCUGUCAGCAGGGAAGAACGGUCACUGUGCUAAUCAGCAGUGAAUUGACGGUACCUGCAAAGGAAGCACCGGCUAACUCCGUGCCAGCAGCCGCGGUAAUACGGAGGGUGCGAGCGUGAAUCGGAAUUACUGGGCGUAAAGCUCUCGUAGGCGGUAUGUCAAGUCAAGGGUGAAAUCCCCGCGCUCAACGUGGGAACUGCAUUGGAAACUGGCAAACUGGAGUGUGUGAGAGGAUAGUGGAAUUCCAGGUGUAGGAGUGAAAUCCGUAGAUAUCUGGAGGAACAUCAGUGGCGAAGGCGACUAUCUGGAACAUAACUGACGCUGAGGAGCGAAAGCGUGGGUAGCAAACAGGAUUAGAUACCCGGGUAGUC